rnacentral:sRNA from 1 species
AGUGCUGAGCCUGGGUGCCCUUUGUCGAGCCCUGUCUCUUGUGCUGUGAUAUCAGCCUGCUGGAGCAGAAAUCUACCAGCCUGGGCUGAGUCCCAGCCAUGUGGAGCAGGCUUUCACUGCUUUGGAAUAUAAACGUUUAGACAAGAAAUUCAAACGGAUGGGAAUAUUUGUUGGAUUUCCCCUCCACUCAGCUGGGAAGUCAGCUCUAGCAAAGUGAUUGUGAGAUAUGUGGCACCAAGCCAAGUCCCUCCUGACUUUCAGGGGAGGGAUCUCAAGACAGAGGCCUAGGGAGGGUGCUAGUCUGAGGCUGCCAAGACAUGACGAACCAAAGAUGUUCUCAGCAGGUCGUUCUUCAGAAAUGCACUCCCUGCAUCUCUCCCAGGGUGCUCAGACAUGGAAUAUUAAAGUAAUAUAAAUGAUUGGAGGGGAUGCAGCCCCACUCCUCACUUUACAGAAGAGCAAUGGAGGCCCAGAGGGAAAUGCCUUGUCCCAGCUCACAGGACAGUUCAGAGAUCCUGACCGCCACGAUUGAAAACCACCAGGUCAUCCUGGAGAUUGACAAUGCCAGGCUGGCUGCGG